UUUCCCACAACUAGAAUAUCUAUCUUUCUCCUUCUCUUUUUCAUCUCCUCAGUCUCAACUUUUCACAGCCCAACCCCCACAACAGACAAACUGACACCUCCACAGGCAUCCCUUCUCACUCCCAAGGAAGUGGUGGGAUGCUUUCUUACUACUCAAGUCCCUCAUCCCCAUGAGCCCUAGUGGGGAGUCAGGCAGAAAAAGGGGUUCCUUGGGUUUGGGGACUCUGCAACUGCUUUGUUAUGGGGCUCUUUCUUGGCUUUGCUUCAUGUCAGAUGCAUUGGGAGUGGGGGUGGCACUGCGGCUGGCAUUUCAUCAGUGACAGAGCCUGCUUCUUGUUGGGGACAUAGGGGUUAAUCUCUGCCUUUGCCUUUACCUUGGAGAGGGGAGGGGUGCAAGCUGUCUCUUGCCAGGGCCCUGUGCUAUGCGGAUAAGAACUGAUGACAGGGUAGGUGAGUGGUCCAGAAAGUCACAGGGGGCCAGGGACCCACUCCUGGAUGUUUCACUAGGGAUCUAUUUUCUGGGAAGUUCUCCAUGCAAACCUGGCCUGUACUCCUUUUCCAUUGGGAGCUGAAAGGACCCCCAGGGAUACCCUGACAUCCUCUGGAAAUCAGAAUAGACUCCCCUCCCAGAUCUGAAUCUCCCCAAGGCAGUUAUUUCAACCCCCACCGCACCCCCAGCUUAUCCUCUUUUUCCUUCUUUUAGGAUCCCCAGGACAGAGACUGACAGACCCUCCAGAAAAAGAUCCCUGCCAAUCCCUUUCUCUUUGCCCUCUCUCAUGCCCAGACAACUGGUGUUAGGCAGACCCUGAGAGCUGGGGAAGUGAUGGUGCUGUUCCUUUAACCAUGUUUUACUGGAAGGAGAGUGCGCUGGGGAGCAGGGAAGAGGGGGAAGGGAGUUUCUGGCUUUGCAUGGAGAAGCAGAACAUGAUGAAGCAUUUUUCCCCCACUUAAAGGUCCAGUCAUGCUUUGGUUUGCAGGGGGCAGAGGGGCUGGUUUGCAGGUGAUGCUGGGAGAAUGAGCCAUGAGGUGAAUGGUUUUGCUCCAUCAUGUACUCCCACCAUGAUGUGCUACCUCACCACAGGCCCAAAGCAGCCAACUGAUGUGAACUGGAACUUCCAGAACUGACUUGACUUUAUUUUCCCUCUUUGACUCCUCCCAUUACAAGAUAUGACUACUAGUCCCGCUUCCUGGAUUGGGAAAUGAAGACUGAGAGACUGAGUAAUUUGUCCCAGGUCACACAGCUAGCAAACAAAGCAGCUGGGAUUUGAACCUAGUUCUGAUGGGCUCCACAGCAGCUGGAGCUCCAAGAGGCAGGAGACAAGACCUGGAUAUGAUGUUCUGAAUCGGCAGGGCACUUUGUCUCCUAUCACCACCUGCUGGUGCUUCCAAGGUACCAGACACUUUAUUUUUUUCCACAUGUUUGGAUAUCCACAGGGAGGAACCUAUGGUUAUCUCCCUUCAUAGAUGAAUAAACUGAGAUGUA